GUUUGGACCCCCUCUCCCCACCAGCCACUCUUUCUGACAACGUUUCUGGGCCCUGAUGAUUACUGUUACUUGCCUUUCGUUGCUUGCUAGCUUUUCAGACUAAAGGAAUCAUUACACCGUCGACAGCACCAGAUCAACUGGUUUGCACUGGCAUGGGCAGAAGAAAAUCUAAUCACUGUGAGUGGUGAGUGGUGGUAAAAACUAGUCAGAAUGACAAAAAGCAAAAGGAACUGAGAGGAUAGAAACUAUCUUCCCAGAUGGAGGUUUCAAACAACUGAUUUGUAAGCUGGCUUUGGUUUAUAAGUUGAAGACAGGCUGAAUGCUUCCAGG